rnacentral:pre_miRNA from 1 species
UGUUAAAAAAAUUAUCAAUUUCUGUUAUUAAAAGCUGGCAUGGUUGAUAGAAUAAUCAAACAGUGAUGUGUCACAUGUAGCUCAUGCUAAUAUACAAGAACUCAAUUUUUAACAGUAAAUAUGUAUGAAAUUUGUAAUA